rnacentral:lncRNA from 1 species
GCUGUUUGGAAGUGAUUUAAAAAUACUGUGAGGGUGGAUGCCCAGUGGCUGGGGAUGCUGCCACGAUGGGCCGGUAAAAGUGUGGACGCUCGGUCCAGCCGAGCGAGGCUCAGGCCUGAGUUUGGCUGCGAGUCACACUCGGGCCUGGGGAGAAGAAACUGCCAGACAGUAGGGUUUAAACCAUCUAGAAGGUUUCUGGAAGGGUUUCUGCAACGGUGUCAAGACUCGCGGGACCCACAGCUGUCUCCAACCGGCAAACUUGUUCCCUCUGUAAGUUUCCCAAAAAUGUUCUUUCCAAAUCGAAUGGUGACUGCAACCAACAAACCCCGAGCCUGCGGCUGGUGAGGAUCCGGACCCUGGGCGCGCGGGCCCGCGUUCUUUUCCUGGCGUGGGCAAGGAGCCUCAGCACGAUUGAGAGUCUGUGGCGUAUAUAUAAAAAAAAAACCCACCUAACACCCGAAUGCUGAUCAGCUGAUCACCUCUUUUUGAUGUGUGGGCCUCUGUGAACGGUAUUGAUUGAGUUCUUUGGUAGUAUGAUGUGCAUUUUGUGUGUAUAUACAUAAAUACAGUGUAUGUACAUUCACCAAGCUCUCUCUCAUACACAAAUGCUGGCGCACACGCACACACACACACACACACACACACACACAAGUAUACAUUGCUGGACAGGAGAGCCCAACACAAACUUGUUACACUGUUAAACUGGAAAGCAAAACUGCCUAGGCACCAUACCAUUCAAACUUUUAAUUUUCUUCUUAAAGGAAGGGAUGGAGGUGGGGGAGGAGCUGGAAGAAGAGGUGGGAGAAACUAGUGUGGAAAACACUGUAUAGCUCAGACAAAAGUGAGGGUUUUGUAGGAUUCUAGCACCAUUCUAGCACUCUCAGAUUCAUAAAUCCAGUAAGAUAAUGACCAGGAUAUUAAAUUGCAGGUCACCUUUGAUUCAGUGGUCUCAGCUACUCCUAGGUUAGGUGACCCCUGACCCAUGAAGGACCACGUAUGUGGUGGGGGAGCCUCCUUCUGCAAAACCCACCCAGAACAAAAGUUCUUUGUCGGGACUUUAGAAAAGUGUAAUGUAAAAGAGAAAAUUGUGAAAACUCUCAGCAAAUGUUGUAACUUUUAAAUGCCAUUUUAAAAAAGAGAGUUAAGAAGGGCCAGGGAUUUAGCUCAGUGGUUCUGCCGCCUGCCUUCCAAGCACAAGGACCCUAGUUCAACCCCUGGUACCAAAAAAAAAAAAAAAAAAAAAAAACCACCCCAAAAACAAAACAAAAACAAAAGAAGAGGGGUAAGAAUGGAGCUAUCUUAAGAUCAUUUCCCAUUUCCCAUAUGCUAAAAGAACUUCCUACAGGUACAAUUUACUGUUCUAUAAUUGGGCUUAUUAAAAAACCUCUGUAUAAAAUAUGUGCUCUCUAGCAGUUUAGAGAUAGGGAUGCAAGUAUGUGUGUAUUUGUCAAAAAAAGACUUUGGGGGUUAAAAAUAGAAGCUAUCAACUACUUUGACUUUUGCCCCUGCAUUGGUGAGUGGUUGUGGUUUUGCAAAAAGGGGGAGAACUAAUUGUCUUUACUUAUCCCCUCUUUGCUGCUGGGAGUGUUUCUACUAGUGCAAAACAAAACAAAAAUAAACCAAAAACCAGGAGGCAUUAGCUUACAUUAAUGUGUUUAAUUAUUCUGAGGACUGUUAUCCUUUGGGCUCUCAGGCGGGCUAUAUCCAGGGAAGCUGAAUACCGAUGACAAGCGAACAGCUUUCCAAUAAACUGCAGUAUGAUUGCAAUAGACUUUGUAAUACAAUUUAUGCUGUCAUUCACAAAUAACAAUGCCAUAUGUCAACCAUAUUGCUUACACAAGUAAAUCCAUCACCGUGUCACCAUUUGAUUUAGCCCAACA